ensembl:lncRNA
ACUUUUCAUAGGUAAGAAUAGUUUUUGGCUCUUUUUCCAGUAUUAAAUCUUGUUGAGAGCUUCCAGUCUAUGAGAGCUAACUAGUUAGCCACUAGCAAAACGCUAAGGCGAGCUAGCAUCUUGACAACCAAAUACCAGACGAUUAAUAGUAGCUGUAGUAUAGUUGUACAAGCAGUAGUAGUAAUACUAAAAGUACAAGCAGCAGUAGUAGUAUAAACAGCUGUUAGAGUCGUAGAAGUAGUAUCAGCAUUUGUAAUAGUAUUACAAGUUGUAGUAGCAGUGCCAGCAGCAGCAGUAGUAGUUACUGUACUAGCACUACGAGUAGUAGUCACAUUGCUAUUACUACCACCAAUACUACCAAUAGUAGUUAUAAAGCCUAACUCAUAUAUAUCCAGAUUACCAUCUAUGUUCUUCCUCCAAACCCAUUUUAUGAAUGGGAUUACAGGCAGUUCUUUAGGACUGCUCUCAAAUAAUUGAAAUGUUACUAAACAAGGUUAUACUUAUCAAAUUAAAUAGCUCUGGUCUCCAGUAUAUUGGCGAAUUCGGUUCUUUGUACUUAAUUUAUUAGCAUGAUUUAUUUUUUAAUAUGUUGUGUACAGACUUAAUUACUUCUCUGUCUACUUUUCUUACUCCAUGUAGGUUUCCCAGACACUAUGGGUUGAGGAGGAAUUGGAAGUUUGUCGGCUUAGACCUGGUGUCAUUCCAUCAGUGUUAAACUUCCCGGCUCAUCCUGGAAGAGUACGUGCCAGAAAGACCACGACCAAGCAGCCUUGAGAUCUUAGGCAGCGUCUCCCUGAGCUUCAGCUCCAGAGACGGCAGGCGGGACGAGUCAACGGAGGCCGGGUGGACGAAGGCAUGCAGCUGAGUACAAUCCAGAAAACAACAGAGGAAGAGUGCAGCUGCCCAGGACCAGAACAGAGUAGCAUGGUAUGUCUCUGAGAAAACAUCAUAGUUUAGCCUUUGGUAUGAAAAAACGCCAUCAUAUACAUUGUAUAUUGUACAAAUAACAAGUCAAAGGAAAGAGACAUACAUUGUAGAAUUGUAGUAAUUGUGGGCUGACUGAUUUACUGAUUAUCAAUAUUUUAUUUUUUACUGAUUUACGGUAAUAAAUACAUUUAAAAAUGGUGCUACUUUGGCUCUGAAACUUUAUCUACCUGUGGUCGCUCUGUCUUCUGGAGUGAUUUGAUUGGUUAUAUGUCACGAAUAAAACUCCUUUAACUUAACAUCUGUAAACCAAACAAAAACGUAUCAACAAAGUUUUCUGUUAGUUUGUGUUCUUCUAAGUUUAACUCAAGAUUUUAAAUACUUUCAUUUACUGCAAAUGAAUAUCGACUCCAAAUGUCUCAGAAAUAAUCAUUAUCAGCCUUAAAAACCCACAAAACACCCCUUUAUACUCGACCACACUUAGUACAGUCCGGUUCCCCCUUCUAUAAAUCUGCUUGGAAUCUUCCACUUCCUGUUUGUCAAAGUGGCCUUCUACCUGGACAGGUUUUGUUGGAGCUCAUGCAACAAACAUUUUGGGUAACUGCACUUCAAUAUGGAUGGAUGA